ACGUAGGUGGCGAGCGUUAUCCGGAAUUAUUGGGCGUAAAGAGGGAGCAGGCGGCACUAAGGGUCUGUGGUGAAAGAUCGAAGCUUAACUUCGGUAAGCCAUGGAAACCAUAGAGCUAGAGUGUGUGAGAGGAUCGUGGAAUUCCAUGUGUAGCGGUGAAAUGCGUAGAUAUAUGGAGGAACACCAGUGGCGAAGGCGACGAUCUGGCGCAUAACUGACGCUCAGUCCCGAAAGCGUGGGGAGCAAAUAG
rnacentral:rRNA from 1 species